UUCUGUCUUGUGUCCUAGGCUUCACACCUAGCAUACACUUGUUGUCCUGUUUUGAUCCUCUUCAAAAGGUGGUUUAUAAUCAACUGUAAGACUUUGACAGUUGCUCUCAACAUUCUUCUAAAUGAAGGAAGGAAAAGAAAGAGAAAAAGAAAGAAAGAGAGAGAGAGAAAUAGAGAAAGAAAGAGAGAGAGGGAG
rnacentral:lncRNA from 1 species